rnacentral:rRNA from 1 species
AUUGAACGCUGGCGGCAGGCCUAACACAUGCAAGUCGAGCGAGCGGCGGACGGGUGAGUAAUGUAUGGGGACUGCCCGAUAGAGGGGGAUAACUACUGGAAACGGUGGCUAAUACCGCAUACUCUCGUAUAACCCAUAUGGGAUUAGAUAGUAGGUAGGGUAAAGGCUCACCUAGGCGACGAUCUCUAGCUUAUCUGAGAGGAUGAUCAGCCACACUGGGACUGAGACACGGCCCAGACUCCGACGGAGGCAGCAGUGGGGAAUAUAGCAAAAUGGGCGCAAGCAGGAUGCAGCCAUGCCGCGUGUAUGAAGAAGGCCUUAGGGUUGUAAAGUAAUUUCAGCGGGGAGGCGUUACCCACAGAAGAAGCACCGGCUAACUCCGUGCCAGCCGCCGCGGUAAUAC